UACAGCUUUUGGAUCAAGCACCCUCACUGCCUUUUCUUUCUCUGUGCCCUGGGUGAUGAUUUGAACCUGAGAAUUACUGUUACCAAAACAUUAAAAAAAGAUGGCAAACAACAAGUGAAAUUCUGAAGGUGGGAAGGCAAGAGAAAAAUGUAACAGAGCAUAAGAAAAGGGACAUUUAAAUUUAUUCGUCUGCAUAUAGAGUUGCUUCCUCCUUCUGUGAGCCCCUGGGCAGCCAGGACUUCCCUGCCUUGCCAAUCAAACCCAUGAGGAAACAUCAAGCGAACUGGCUGGAGCAUAUCAGCAAUGUUCUGUACGGAUCCAUCACUUAAAAUACUGCACUGCAGUGUGAAAAGACAAACGGGAGAGACAGCAGGAAUCAGCACUCCCUCUCCUUUCUGUCAAGUAAGGCCAAUGCUAUCACAGAAAUGGAGAGACACACACCAGAUCAACGGGCCACAAGUGCUGCACCAGGCACAGGUAGUUUGCUGAUCUGAAUGAGGCAGCAUGCAACGAAAGUGCUGCAUCCAGUGGGAUGUCAGUGAACUUGACACCAGCUCAGAUGGACUUCACAAGGCUGCCCACACCCACCAUGUGGGUCAACACAAACAACAGAAGGCAGCAGCAUGAAAACCAAAAGAAACAUGCCCAAGAGCUGGAAAACAAAGGGAGAGAAAGGAGACAACUGCAGGUACACGGAUGGUGGGAGCCAUGCAGAGCAGCAGCCCCGCACUCCCUGUGUGUAAAUCCACAGAGUGACCUCCUCACCAGACACCUUGGGGACUCAUAGACCUCGAGGGAGACUCAGGAAACCCCAUUCCACAGGAUGGCUCUUCGUACAGGAUCAGGAGGAGCUGUUUGGUGUGCCAAAAGAGGUAUCAGAAAAGGCUGGAAUGCUAAUAUCAAUUGAUUUUCUUUCUAUACGCUUCCCAAUUCUAAAAUCCCAGCACAUCAAAAGGCUUAUUACUGAAGAAGAGUGAAAUCCAUUCAUGGAAAUGGCUGAACACAGGAACACCAGCUGUGUUUGAAUACUACAGCAUUAAAAUUAACUUUACAACUUAUUUUGAAUCUGCUUGUUAUAAUGGCAUAA